GACGAACGCUGGCGGCGUGCUUAACACAUGCAAGUCGAACGGAAAGGCCAUGCUUUUGUGGGGCGCUCGAGUGGCGAACUCGUGUGUAACACGUGAGUAACCUGCACUUGACUUUGGGAUAUCUUUAGGGAACUCGGGCUAAUACCGGGUAGGAUCUCCUGCUCCAUGUUGGUGGUUAGAGAGUUUCGGCGGUUGGGGAUGGACUCGCGGCUUAUCAGCUUGAUGGUGGGGUUGGGGCUUACCAAGGCUUCGAAGGGUAGCCGGCCUGAGAGGGUGACCGGCCACAUUGGGACUGAGAGACGGCCCAGACUCCUACGGGACGCAGCAGUGGGGAGUAUUGCACAAUGGGCGGAAGCCUGAUGCAGCAACGCCGCGUGCGGGAUGCCGGCCUUCGGGUUGUAAACCACUUUCGCCUGUGACGUAGAGUGAGUGACGGUAAUGGGUAAAGAAGCACCGGCUAACUACGUG
rnacentral:rRNA from 1 species